rnacentral:rRNA from 1 species
UACGAAGGGGGCUAGCGUUGUUCGGAAUUACUGGGCGUAAAGCGUGCGCAGGCGGUCUUCCAAGUCAGUGGUGAAAGCCCGGAGCUCAACUCCGGAACUGCCAUUGAAACUGUGAGACUCGAGUACGAGAGAGGUGAGUGGAAUUCCCAGUGUAGAGGUGAAAUUCGUAGAUAUUGGGAAGAACACCAGUGGCGAAGGCGACUUACUGGACACAUAUUGACGCUGAGGCGCGAAAGCGUGGGGAGCAAACAGG